rnacentral:rRNA from 1 species
UACGAAGGGGGCUAGCGUUGCUCGGAAUCACUGGGCGUAAAGCGCACGUAGGCGGACUCUUAAGUCGGUUGUGAAAUCCUGGAGCUCAACUCCAGAACUGCCUUCGAUACUGAGAGUCUCGAGUCCGGGAGAGGUGAGUGGAACUGCGAGUGUAGAGGUGAAAUUCGUAGAUAUUCGCAAGAACACCAGUGGCGAAGGCGGCUCACUGGCCCGGUACUGACGCUGAGGUGCGAAAGCGUGGGGAGCAAACAGG